AUUCUUCUCGAUAACAUUCUGGAAACAAUACCCCAGUAACAGUGGCAAUAGAGAAUAAACAAGAAUGAAAUCCAACAUCGUUGUAGUGUUUAUUGUGUUUAUACUGUGUGCAACCUUUGCCACCUCCAUCACCUCCGCCAAUUUGUGGGACAACUUGAAGAGAGAGCUUGAUGAGCAGCUUGAUGAGCAGUAUGCGCAUAGACGCCCUCAUUUCAGCAAACGAGCAUGUCGCGACACAUAUUUCGCUUCUUCAUGCAAGGCUGCCGUCGAUGGGGAUAGAUGCUGGAAGAGCAAUUAUAAAACGGGUUGUGCAAAGACAUGCGGUUAUUGCACCUAAGCUAAACAAGAUACAGUUGUACUCUGGUUUUACUAAACGACGAAAUGAGAUCAAAUGAGCUCGAUAAUUUUAGUAAUGUAUUAGAUAGCCAAUGUUUUGCAAGUACAAACGUUUAGACGAAGAUUAAAGUACCGUGAUUGUGAUGUCAUGUUAUCUUUAAAGUAAUUCAUGCAAUUCAUGCAGAUAUUAAAUCAAAUCAUUCUCAAUA